AGACCCGAAACCCGGUGAUCUAGCCAUGGGCAGGUUGAAGGUUGGGUAACACUAACUGGAGGACCGAACCGACUAAUGUUGAAAAAUUAGCGGAUGACCUGUGGCUGGGGGUGAAAGGCCAAUCAAACCGGGAGAUAGCUGGUUCUCCCCGAAAGCUAUUUAGGUAGCGCCUCGUGAAUUCAUCUCCGGGGGUAGAGCACUGUUUCGGCUAGGGGGCCAUCCCGGCUUACCAACCCGAUGCAAACUGCGAAUACCGGAGAAUGUUAUCACGGGAGACACACGGCGGGUGCUAACGUCCGUCGUGAAGAGGGAAACAACCCAGACCGCCAGCUAAGGUCCCAAAGUCAUGGUUAAGUGGGAAACGAUGUGGGAAGGCCCAGACAGCCAGGAUGUUGGCUUAGAAGCAGCCAUCAUUUAAAGAAAGCGUAAUAGCUCACUGGUCGAGUCGGCCUGCGCGGAAGAUGUAACGGGGCUAAACCAUGCACCGAAGCUGCGGCAGCGACACUGUGUGUUGUUGGGUAGGGGAGCGUUCUGUAAGCCUGUGAAGGUGUGUCGUGAGGCAUGCUGGAGGUAUCAGAAGUGCGAAUGCUGACAUAAGUAACGAUAAAGCGGGUGAAAAGCCCGCUCGCCGGAAGACCAAGGGUUCCUGUCCAACGUUAAUCGGGGCAGGGUGAGUCGACCCCUAAGGCGAGGCCGAAAGGCGUAGUCGAUGGGAAACGGGUUAAUAUUCCCGUACUUGGUGUUACUGCGAAGGGGGGACGGAGAAGGCUAUGUUGGCCGGGCGACGGUUGUCCCGGUUUAAGCGUGUAGGUGUGUGUUCCAGGUAAAUCCGGUUCACUUUAACACUGAGGCGUGACGACGAGGCACUACGGUGCUGAAGCAACAAAUGCCCUGCUUCCAGGAAAAGCCUCUAAGCAUCAGGUAACAUCAAAUCGUACCCCAAACCGACACAGGUGGUCAGGUAGAGAAUACCAAGGCGCUUGAGAGAACUCGGGUGAAGGAACUAGGCAAAAUGGUGCCGUAACUUCGGGAGAAGGCACGCUGACACGUAGGUGAAGUGAUUUACUCAUGGAGCUGAAGUCAGUCGAAGAUACCAGCUGGCUGCAACUGUUUAUUAAAAACACAGCACUGUGCAAACACGAAAGUGGACGUAUACGGUGUGACGCCUGCCCGGUGCCGGAAGGUUAAUUGAUGGGGUCAGCGCAAGCGAAGCUCCUGAUCGAAGCCCCGGUAAACGGCGGCCGUAACUAUAACGGUCCUAAGGUAGCGAAAUUCCUUGUCGGGUAAGUUCCGACCUGCACGAAUGGCGUAAUGAUGGCCAGGCUGUCUCCACCCGAGACUCAGUGAAAUUGAACUCGCUGUGAAGAUGCAGUGUACCCGCGGCAAGACGGAAAGACCCCGUGAACCUUUACUAUAGCUUGACACUGAACAUUGAGCCUUGAUGUGUAGGAUAGGUGGGAGGCUUUGAAGUGUGGACGCCAGUCUGCAUGGAGCCGACCUUGAAAUACCACCCUUUAAUGUUUGAUGUUCUAACGUGGACCCGUUACCCGGGUUGCGGACAGUGUCUGGUGGGUAGUUUGACUGGGGCGGUCUCCUCCUAAAGAGUAACGGAGGAGCACGAAGGUUGGCUAAUCCUGGU
rnacentral:rRNA from 1 species